CAGUCGCCGCGGUAAUACAGAGGGUGCGAGCGUUAAUCGGAUUUACUGGGCGUAAAGCGCGCGUAGGUGGUUCGCCAAGUUGGAUGUGAAAUCCCUGAGCUUAACUUAGGAAUUGCAUUCGAUACUGGGAAGCUAGAGUAUGGGAGAGGAUGGUAGAAUUCCAGGUGUAGCGGUGAAAUGCGUAGAGAUCUGGAGGAAUACCGAUGGCGAAGGCAGCCAUCUGGCCUAAUACUGACGCUGAGGUACGAAAGCAUGGGGAGCAAACAGGAUUAGAUACCCCCGUAGUCCCUGUCUCUUAUAA
rnacentral:rRNA from 1 species